UGGGGAAUCUUCCGCAAUGGACGAAAGUCUGACGGAGCAACGCCGCGUGAGUGAAGACGGCCUUCGGGUUGUAAAGCUCUGUGAUUCGGGACGAAAGGCCAUAUGUGAAUAAUAUAUGGAAAUGACGGAACCGAAAAAGCAAGCCACGGCUAACUACGUGCCAGCAGCCGCGGUAAUACGUAGGUGGCAAGCGUUGUCCGGAAUUAUUGGGCGUAAAGCGCGCGCAGGCGGUCACUUAAGUCCAUCUUAGAAGUGCGGGGCUUAACCCCGUGAUGGGAUGGAAACUGGGAGACUGGAGUAUCGGAGAGGAAAGUGGAAUUCCUAGUGUAGCGGUGAAAUGCGUAGAUAGUAGGAAGAACACCGGUGGCGAAGGCGACUUUCUGGACGAAAACUGACGCUGAGGCGCGAAAGCGUGGGGAGCAAACAGG
rnacentral:rRNA from 1 species